rnacentral:rRNA from 1 species
GAUGAACGCUGGCGGCGUGCCUAAUACAUGCAAGUCGAGCGAACAGACGAGGAGCUUGCUCCUUCGACGUUAGCGGCGGACGGGUGAGUAACACGUAGAUAACCUACCUAUAAGACUGGGAUAACUUCGGGAAACCGGAUCUAAUACCGGAUAAUAUUUCGAACCGCAUGGUUCGAUAGUGAAAGAUGGCUUUGCUAUCACUUAUAGAUGGACCUGCGCCGUAUUAGCUAGUUGGUAAGGUAACGGCUUACCAAGGCAACGAUACGUAGCCGACCUGAGAGGGUGAUCGGCCACACUGGAACUGAGACACGGUCCAGACUCCUACGGGAGGCAGCAGUAGAGAAUCUUCCGCAAUGGGCGAAAGCCUGACGGAGCAACGCCGCGUGAGUGAUGAAGGUCUUCGGAUCGUAAAACUCUGUUAUUAGGGAAGAACAAACGUGUAAGUAACUGUGCACGUCUUGACGGUACCUAAUCAGAAAGCCACGGCUAACUACGUG